GGCGAUAAGUUAAGUUUGUUUUCUGCAAAUUGAGCCUUUUCUGCCCGUGGCAGUGAUCAGUAGGCCAUCUCCCUGUCUUACCUCAGCCCACAAGCUUUUUUGUCUCGUUCUCUCUCCUGUCCUGCUGAGGGGAGAGCAGCUGGGUGGGUGGCUCACCAAGGUCACCCCACCACAAGCUCUUUGAGGAUCACCCAUUUGAAUUUGUGCCAAUCUCUACAGGAACCUGAUGCCAGCAAUUUAAGGAUCUUCACAUUCAGUCUCAGUGCCCUAACGAAGCAAUUCCAGGACAGUCUCAACAAAACCAACCUCUACCGUGUGUCAUUACUUGAACUUGACCCUCUUCCCUCUGCUGCCAGGCAUUCAAUUUCCCCACAGAUUUUGUCCCCUCGUUAAGGCUGAGAGUGUUGGGUCUCAGCUGAAAAAGGAACCUAAGGCUUCCGAUCUUUAAUCAAGGAGAGGAAAGAUUCCGUUUUGCUGAGCCACGGUGCCUCGGUUCCCACUUGGGUGUGCCCCACGCAGCGCGAGCAGGGAGCCCUGCGCAUGCUGCAGGCAGGAGCAUCUCCACGAGGCGUUCUGCACCUCGCUGUGUGAAGGCUUUGGGAACCUCACAGAUAUGCAGACACAAACGAUGUUAUGACAUGAGCGCCAUACUUCUCAGUAAAUAAACUGUUGGAAAAUGGCAGUACCAAAUUAAAUGGCAAUAAAGCUUUUGUUGUUUCAAUUUUAUGCAGGUUUUAAGGCAGAAUCUGUGAUGAACUGCAUUGUGCAUGCUUGCACCAAAAUAAAGAGGGAAGCAUGGCAUAUAAAUAUGUUUAGCACUAGACCAGUAUUUUUUUCAAAUUCUAACUCACUAAGAGUUUUACAGAAAUUUGAUUAUAAUUUUACUGCAUUGAAGAUUCUUUUGCAUCUGUUUCACGGACAUCCACCUUUUAAAUUUUAUUUAAUUUGUAUUGAUUUUUCCUGCACUUUCAUAAGCAGACAUCACACAUCUGAGCACACAGAGAAAUGAUUACUUAAGUGAUGAUUUAAAAAUAAUGGAUGUACAUUAGCACAUGAAUGAUUAAUUCCUCUUUGUGAGUACAAGCAUCCAGGCUAUG